AGAGUUUGAUCCUGGCUCAGAGCGAACGCUGGCGGCAUGCUUAACACAUGCAAGUCGCACGGGCAGGGCAACCUGUCAGUGGCGGACGGGUGAGUAACGCGUAGGUAUCUAUCCUUGGGUGGGGGACAACCGUGGGAAACUACGGCUAAUACCGCAUGAUGACUGAGGUCCAAAGGCGCAAGUCGCCUGGGGAGGAGCCUGCGUACGAUUAGCUAGUUGGUGGGGUAAAGGCCUACCAAGGCGACGAUCGUUAGCUGGUCUGAGAGGAUGAUCAGCCACAUUGGGACUGAGACACGGCCCAAACUCCUACGGGAGGCAGCAGUGGGGAAUAUUGGACAAUGGGCGCAAGCCUGAUCCAGCAAUGCCGCGUGUGUGAAGAAGGUCUUCGGAUUGUAAAGCACUUUCGACGGGGACGAUGAUGACGGUACCCGUAGAAGAAGCCCCGGCUAACUUCGUGCCAGCAGCCGCGGUAAUACGAAGGGGGCUAGCGUUGCUCGGAAUGACUGGGCGUAAAGGGCGCGUAGGCGGAUUGCACAGUCAGAUGUGAAAUUCCCGGGCUUAACCUGGGGGCUGCAUUUGAUACGUGUUGUCUAGAGUGAGGAAGAGGGUAGUGGAAUUCCCAGUGUAGAGGUGAAAUUCGUAGAUAUUGGGAAGAACACCGGUGGCGAAGGCGGCUGCCUGGUCCUUGACUGACGCUGAGGCGCGAAAGCGUGGGGAGCAAACAGGAUUAGAUACCCUAGUAGUCC
rnacentral:rRNA from 1 species